rnacentral:rRNA from 1 species
UACGUAGGGUGCAAGCGUUGUCCGGAAUUAUUGGGCGUAAAGAGCUCGUAGGCGGUUUGUCGCGUCUGCUGUGAAAACGCGAGGCUCAACCUCGCGCCUGCAGUGGGUACGGGCAGACUGGAGUGCGGUAGGGGAGAUUGGAAUUCCUGGUGUAGCGGUGGAAUGCGCAGAUAUCAGGAGGAACACCGAUGGCGAAGGCAGAUCUCUGGGCCGUAACUGACGCUGAUGCGCGAAAGCCAGGGGAGCAAACGGG